UACGUAGGGUGCGAGCGUUAAUCGGAAUUAUUGGGCGUAAAGCGUGCGCAGGCGGUUCGUUAUGUCCGUUGUGAAAGCCCCGGGCUCAACCUGGGAAUGGCAAUGGAAACUGGCGGGCUAGAGUGUGGCAGAGGGGGGUGGAAUUCCGCGUGUAGCAGUGAAAUGCGUAGAGAUGCGGAGGAACACCGAUGGCGAAGGCAGCCCCCUGGGCUAGCACUGACGCUCAGGCACGAAAGCGUGGGGAGCAAACAGG
rnacentral:rRNA from 1 species